AAGUGAUUUGCCCGGUGAUUUGACCAGUUUCUUCAAGUGAUUGGGCAAAUCACAGACCCGAUCACGUUUCUAUGAGUCAGUUCUCUCUGUCUUCUGCGAGUGAUUUGGCCAGUGUCUUCGAGUGUCCUGGGCAAAUCACUGACCUUAUCACUUGUUGCCUCCAGGUUUCUGCUUCAGCUUGAUCUGGGCGGAUCACUAGGCAAAUCACUGACCCAAUCACUUUUCUAUCAAUUUUCUGCACUUUUUCUCCAAUUUUCCAAUUUCUUCCUUUUCUGUAAAAACAAGAUAAAAACCAUAAAUUAAACUAAAAAAUAUGUAAAUAAGCAAUAAAAAAGAUAAUAAAAAUGUGGCUAAUUUAUGCUUGAUCAAAUACCCCCACACCUAGCUUUUUGCUUGUCCUCAAGCAACAAAUAACUUAGCCAAUCAAGCCCCUUUUUCUUUUGAGCCUAAGUACCACUUAAUCAGCCCCCCCUAGACUCCUAAUCUGAACUAUCACACUAGACUCCUAAUCUGAACUAUCACAGUAUAGAGUACAUGCACUAAGGUCAUCCUCUCCUUUCCUUGUUUCCUUUCACCUACCAUGGUCAAGGGAAAGGUUUUUGAUUCAAUCAUGCUUAUUCUUUUAUGUUAGGUUUAAUGUAACCCCUAGGAGUGACUUGCCACCUUCUCUCUUUCUCUUUUUUAUUUUUAUUUUCAGCAGCACUUAUUCUUAUCCUUGCCUGAAAAAGUCACUAACCUUUUUACGCGAUUGUGUACAUGGGUGAUACACCCCCGGUUACUCAGUUAGUCACUUGUUCAAGUGGCUACUAGCUCUGUUCAUAGUCUAGACCAUCGAAACUUAUUUGCUUGAAAAAGUUACUGACCUUUUUACGCGAUUGUGUACAUG
rnacentral:lncRNA from 1 species